CCCCCGCGCAGGCGCAGACGCCGGCAGUGGCGGAACUCGCGGGUCCCGAGGCGAGGGAGGCUGGGGUUCGCAGUCAGGAUUGCGGACACGAGCGGGACUCCGGGGCCCGACGUCAAGCCUCACGGAGUCAGAUCAGUGUGCAGCCCAGCUGAGAUGUCUGUGUAGCUGGCAAGACUGAAGCAGAGAACAUAGAUUCUCCACGUGAAGACUCCCACCUGACUCCCACUGAGAAUUUGCUUGCUCUGACUUCCAGUUUGUGAUUCCUGAGAGUGCUGUAGACAGGAGAGAACCUAGAAUUUACAUGCAUGAGGAGUAAAAUGUGCCGUAGCAUUGAAGAUUAAUCUUCUCAGGAAGUCAUCAAGGGAAUUAACAAUCAAAGAUGAACCAGACUAAAGGCAGACCCCUGGUCCCUGGCUGCUCCUCUCGAGGAUA